GUCGAGAGGGCGGAGAAUACAAUACCCUUUGGGGGAAUAAUCCCGGUCUACUUGUGAAGGCUUCUGAACCUCUCGGCACCCUAUU
rnacentral:ncRNA from 1 species